rnacentral:lncRNA from 1 species
UGUCCAAACUACUGCAAAUAGAGACAGCAGUUGCUAUCCAUCUGCUGAAAAUUCCACAAUUACAUCAGCAAUUGCUGAACCUGCUGUCCAAAAAUCAGCAAGUGUUGAAUCUGCCACCAUUGCAUCCCUUAUUGCUGUCCAAACACCAGCAACCUCAGAAAUUGACACAACUGAACCAGAAGUUGUUGCACUUGCUGAACCAGCAACAUACACCACUGAAAUAGCUCCUGAACAGCCAGCAAAGAAGCAAC